AUUAACGUCACGGGCAGGACUAAAUUUGACAGUUGGCCACAUGCGGCAGCCUCUUCUCUCUUCCAGCCUUCGUCUCUUUCUGUCUCCCAAGAGCUCCGUCAGUAUGAAGAGGCCCGAGGACGCCAUCUCAUCUUCGCUCAGCCGGUGUCAAGCAGCAAUCCUGCGGGGCCCGUCCCUGCUUAAUUCAGCUUAGAGGCCCUCUCUCGUCCCCGACAUUCCUGAUCGCCUCAUUUUUCCGGGUAUGCCUCU